GUGAUAUUUAUAUCAUAGUGGCGCACGGGUGCGUAACACGUAUGCAACCUACCUAUUAUUGGGGGAUAGCCUUUGGAAACGGAGAUUAAUACCGCAUAAUACGAUUAACUGGCAUCGGUUGAUUGUUAAAGCAUUUGCGAUAAUAGAUGGGCAUGCGUCCAAUUAGUUAGUUGGUGUGGUAAUGGCUCACCAAGACGAUGAUUGGUAGGGGAUCUGAGAGGAUAAUCCCCCACACUGGCACUGAGAUACGGGCCAGACUCCUACGGGAGGCAGCAGUAGGGAAUAUUGGGCAAUGGGCGGAAGCCUGACCCAGCCAUGCCGCGUGCAGGAAGACGGCGUUAUGCGUUGUAAACUGCUUUUUUAUAGGAAGAAGGAUCCCUUGCGAGGGAAGGUGACGGUACUAUAAGAAUAAGCACCGGCUAACUCCGUGCCAGCAGCCGCGGUAAUACGGAGGGUGCAAGCGUUGUCCGGAUUUAUUGGGUUUAAAGGGUGCGUAGGCGGUUUAUUAAGUCAGUGGUGAAA
rnacentral:rRNA from 1 species